GGGUUACUCACGGAAACUCCGACGCAUGCGUCUUCCUCUGAUCGUGGUUCGCGUUAGUUCUUCGUCCGUCCACGAUCGAUCUCUGCUCGCCGUCACGGUAGUCUAUGCCUACGCGCGCUUCUGCUGGCCGGCGGCGCGGUCGGCCUCCCUCUUCUUCUCAUUCUCCGUCUCCGGCUCCGCGCGCGCCGCCAUCGUGGCCUUCAUGCUUUGCCUCCGCGUCCGCCUCGCGGUGGUCUUGCUUCCGACGGUGGUCGUCUGCGCCGUGGGAGGCCUCCAGGUCGUGCUCGUGGCCGUUCUCGCGGCCGCGCGCACUCCAUCUUGCCUGCAGAUUUUGAUCUGGUGCCCGUGCCUGCGGCGCCCUUGCGUCCACUCUCUGCUGUUUCUCUUGCAGCCCAGACUGCCGUUGGAUCUUCUUCAUCGUUGAUGCCUGACAGCAAUGUUUUGCCUUUGCCUGGUUUAUUAGAGGCAGAAACUCUGAGAAGACGUGAAAUUUGGCUGGGCAAACGGCCGGUUAUCGAUUCAGGCUCUGGUACUGAUGCCUUUUGUUCACUGUUGUUUCUUUGCAGAAUUCUUUACCCCUAUCUUCUCAGGUUUCUUCUGCUGCUUACCUAGGGGAUUCCGCUGGCCGUUCUGGAGAGCAUGGCAGGGAUGGGUUACUGCUGUUGGCGGCCCUUCUAUCCAGCCUCUUUUCCCUGGGGCGUUUGAUGCUGUCGUCGACUCUGCUAUCGCCCCUUCGUUAACCGAUGACGAUUUUACUGCUUCUCUACCUGAUUUAUUCCCUGUGGACAACGGCUCACAUUUGCCAUCCUUGCGAGACCAGAGUUCAUGGACACCUUUGCCUGUGGCUUCUUUGCGAGCUGUUGACGCGCCUGGUCCGUCUUCGGCUGAUGUUUACCCUUCUGAUUCUUCCCUUGCUGACGCCCUUGCUGCUGAUGAUGUGCGGAGUCCUGCGAUUCGUUUUGCUCAUAUCACUCGGCGGCCAGAUCAGAUGUGCCAGCUGCGGGAAUUGAUCGAUGGUGGCGUGGUUCGUCCACCUUGCUUUCUUUCCACACUUCUCGUGCUUUUUUUCUCCUGUUUUUGCCUCACUAUGUUUUCAUCUGUGUUUCAGUUUCCGCUACUCCUUCCACUUCUUCCGAAAGAGCAGCUGGCAAUCGUCGUCAUCGUCUGGCUAUGCAAGAGCAUACGGCUCUUCUACGGGCCCAUCGACUUUCGAGCCGUUCUCAUGGAGGCAUCCUGCGGAGGUCAGCUUCGAAUAGUCGUCGCCAGGGUCGUCGUCCGCAUUCUGACAUAUGCCGGCAAACUGCUCUUCUUCAGGCAGGUGUUGCUGCUGAUAUUCAGUUGCCUCUUCCUACAAGCUUGGUGAGGUUUCUCAAAGCUGCUUGGCCUGGCAGGUCCUACUACGGUGUCCCUCAUCUUAUUUGCAAGUACUGUGGUGCUUCAUACUGGUAUCAGGAGCGUAAUAAGCGUCUCAGUACGAAAUACCACCGUGUGUAUACUGGUUGUUGUCGUGGUGGCCGGGUGUCUCUUCCGAUUUAUCCGAUUUAUAUGUUGUCGAGUUCCAGAAAAGAGGCUUACCCCACAUACAUACCCUUGUGUGGCUGGAUGCCGACAUGGACGACCCCACGCCUUCUACCAUAGAUUCUUUUAUUUCGGCAGAGAUACCAGAUUAUGCUACCGAUCCAUUGGGGUAUGCACUUGUGGAGGAGUUUAUGGUGCAUGGUCCAUGUGGUGAACACAACCCUCAUUCUCCAUGUAUGAAGGACGGUGUUUGCUCUAAGCGAUAUCCCAAAGAAUUUAAUGAAGAGACUACAAUUGAUGGUCUCGGUUUUCCGGUGUACCGGCGAAGUGAGAACGACAUGUAUAUUCUGAAGAAUGGUGUUCGUGUCGACAAUCGGUGGAUAGUUCCUUACAAUAUGUCCUUGCUAAAAAAAUUCCAAGCUCACAUUAAUGUGGAGUGGUGUAAUAAGACCAACCUUCUUAAAU